AUUAUUUGUAGAGACAAAGGAGAGUCCUUCUAACCUGCAAGCAUUAUCAUUACUUUCUAGCUGCCUCUCCAUCUGGGUCAAUGCAACCAUCCAGUUUCACUAAGAGGAGCAGCUUUCCAAGGAGAUAAUCUGCACUCGAGGUCCUGGAGCUCCUAAAAGGUCUCAGUUCUUCCUCCAACAUUUCGCAGAGCUAAGGAGAGCUGCACCCUGAGGGCAUGUUGCUUCCAGGGCACCCUGCCGCUCUCCAGUCUGCUUGGCAUGCCCCGGGGAAGAGCAAUCUACAGAAAAGAGAGCAGAAGUUACAGUGCUGCAACCACAGCCUAAAGCAUACAGUGUCCAGCAGGGCUUUAAGGAAGAAGACGACAGGCACAGAAGACCAUGUGUCCGAUGGAGAAGUCCUCCUUAAUUUUGAUCUGAUACCUCUGGUACCGUCUAACCAUUUUUAAAGUCAGAAGCAACCAGCAAAGUUGAGAAUAGUCACGUAAGGCAGCAGAGCUUCCAGAGGCAGAAACACGCAGCAAAAUAACAACUGGUUGCAUUUGUCCCCUUCUUAGAAAAGCUCGUACACUCCCAAGACUCCUGCUAGCAAUUUACUAUUCAAAGACAAAAUUGUCCCUCGUGUAAGAUGACAGAAGUCAAUGGAGUUAAUCCAGGGAUGCGGAGCCAUCAACACAACUCCUUAAUGGACCAGAGGAAUUUCUUCUGAGUGAUGUGAGGCACUUUUCUGUCUCUCAGAUCUGAGGGUGCUGUCUCUUCAGGGCUCCUUGUGUCUUCCUCCCUGGAGACCUAGAAACACUGUUGAACCCAAGGCUCCUGCUGGGACAUUGAAGGAAGUAGUGGCUUACCUGUGAGCCUGAACCUGAAUUAGAGCACUUUAUGGGCUUUAAAAGCAUCAGAGAAAGUGAGAAGGGAACCGAAGCAAGGGAAACCCCAAACACUGCAUUCUCUUGGCUUCAUUCAGCUGUGAGAGCCACCAUCACCCUGCUGCAGUGGGAUCUCACAGCAAGAGAAGAUGAGGGAAGAGUGGCAGGAAGCACGCUGUCUGCCUUGCUCCAGGGGAACCCGCGCCUGAUGCCUGCACAAGCUAGUCUGCUGCCCCUGGGGUAAGCUGUCCUCCGGGGCACUAGCUUUUGGGGCAUGUGGGUACCCAGCAGCCCCAUGUCGAACUGCGGCUGCCAUCCCAUCUGCCGCCCCCCUGCAGAUGACCCAGGUGCCCUUGCGGUGCUCAGCUGAGUCCUUGGUUUUCACCUGCGGCUAUGAGGCUGUACAGCACUGCCACCAUGUUCCCCUGGGUUUGUCCUUAUCCCCAGCGUCUGGUUUCUUCUCCAUCCUCCUACCUCCUCUAAGCCUGUCCUCAUCUUCCCCUGUUUUUCCAUCUUCUCUGCUUGAGACACACCUGUGACAUACCUGCUGUUGUUAUAAUAUCAAGCCACUGCCUGGACAUGCCAGCUGGCUGACAUUGGACUUCCUUGUCCCUUC
rnacentral:lncRNA from 1 species